rnacentral:rRNA from 1 species
GAUGAACGCUGGCGGCAUGUCUAACACAUGCAAGUCGAACGGCAGCACGGAGGAGCUUGCUCCUUGGGUGGCGAGUGGCGGACGGGUGAGGAAUACAUCGGAAUCUGCCUAUUUGUGGGGGAUAACGUAGGGAAACUUACGCUAAUACCGCAUACGACCUACGGGUGAAAGCGGAGGACCUUCGGGCUUCGCGCAGAUAGAUGAGCCGAUGUCGGAUUAGCUAGUUGGCGGGGUAAAGGCCCACCAAGGCGACGAUCCGUAGCUGGUCUGAGAGGAUGAUCAGCCACACUGGAACUGCGACACGGUCCAGACUCCUACGGGAGGCAGCAGUGGGGAAUAUUGGACAAUGGGCGCAAGCCUGAUCCAGCCAUGCCGCGUGGGUGAAGAAGGCCUUCGGGUUGUAAAGCCCUUUUGUUGGGAAAGAAAAGCAGCCGGUUAAUACCCGGUUGUUCUGACGGUACCCAAAGAAUAAGCACCGGCUAACUUCGUGCCAGCCGCCGCCGUAA